rnacentral:rRNA from 1 species
UACGGAGGGUGCGAGCGUUAAUCGGAAUUACUGGGCGUAAAGCGAGCGUAGGCGGUUAGAUAAGCUAGAUGUGAAAGCCCAGGGCUUAACCUUGGAAUUGCAUUUAGAACUGUUUGACUAGAGUCCUGUAGAGGGGGGUAGAAUUUCCAGUGUAGCGGUGAAAUGCGUAGAUAUUGGAAGGAAUACCAGUGGCGAAGGCGGCCCCCUGGAUGGAGACUGACGCUGAGGUUCGAAAGCGUGGGUAGCGAACAGG